rnacentral:misc_RNA from 1 species
AAUUCAAUGCCUGAGCUAGUUGCGGAACCUACUUCAGCACGGUCAAUGUCAUUUGUUGGGACUCAUGAAUAUUUGGCCCCCGAGAUUAUCAAGGGAGAAGGCCAUGGCAGUGCAGUUGACUGGUGGACAUUUGGUAUUUUCCUUCAUGAACUACUCUAUGGAAAGACCCCUUUCAAGGGAUCAGGAAACAGGGCAACUCUUUUCAAUGUAGUUGGCCAACAACUUAAAUUUCCAGAUUCUCCUGCAACCAGUUAUGCCAGCCGUGAUCUGAUACGUGGCUUGCUUGUUAAAGAGCCUCAAAACCGGCUUGGGGUG